rnacentral:pre_miRNA from 1 species
UCUAUGAAUCUAGUGGAAACAUCGCCUGCACAAACUCGAUUAUGGCAUACCAGUGUGCGGAAAUGCUUCUGCUACAUUUUUAGGGC